AACCACCAGAAGCUGGAUGAGAAGCAUGGGUUGGAUUCUCCAUCUGAGCCCCCACGAAGGAACCAACCCCGUCGACACCUUGAUUUCAAACUUCUCAUCUCCAGAACGCAAAUCAUUUUUGAGCAUUUGCUCUUUGCCAGGGGCCCAGCAUGGAGAAGACAUGGUCCCUCCCUCAGAGUGAAGUCUUUCUGUCGAUCUCUUACAAGACUCAUAUAACCUAAAAACCUGGAGGGAGCCCCUGAAUCUGGCCUGUUGGUGUCCUUCCUCCUUCAACCAGGGGUCCCUGCUUAUUGCUCCCAAGUGUAGGAAAGACGGGCCCCUGUGGCCCCUCCCUAGACCCUUUCACCAGAGCAGAUCUCCCAAGCCCCAGAAUCAUCCAGACAGAAGGGGCUGCUUUUUGGACCAAAAGCAGUUGUCUGGGCUUGCUUAUCAAGAGGAACUUUCCAGACCUUCCUGAGAGAAGAGAACAGAGGCAUUGAGAGAAAAGCAUGGUUUCAGAAACUCCCCAGGGAACAGAAUGAGGUUCUAACCCUCACCUAACAACACCUGGGGCUGGGGGCAGACAGGGGCCAGGAGCACGGCCUACAGGGUCCCAGAGGUGCAGGCAAGAGAAGAUAUACCUGCUCCCAAGGGACUGUGAGCAUGGUGCCUCAGCAAGUGACAGAGGGUCCCAAAGAACAGGGACCCCC